rnacentral:sRNA from 1 species
CUUUAGCCCUGGGUGGAGUGGCAUCCUUUUUUAUCUUUUCCCGUCACAAAAGCGGGAAAAGAUGAAAAAGAUAGAGCAGAAAACGGGAACAUGG